rnacentral:rRNA from 1 species
AUUGAACGCUGGCGGCAUGCUUUACACAUGCAAGUCGAACGGCAGCACGGGUGCUUGCACCUGGUGGCGAGUGGCGAACGGGUGAGUAAUACAUCGGAACGUACCGGGUAGAGGGGGAUAGCUCGACGAAAGUCGAAUUAAUACCGCAUGACACCUCAGGGAAAAAGCGGGGGAUCGCAAGACCUCGAGCUACCAGAGCGACCGAUGACAGAUUGGGUAGUUGGUGGGGUAAGAGCCUACCAAGCUUACGAUCUGUAGCUGGUCUGAGAGGAUGAUCAGCCACACUGGGACUGAGACACGGCCCAGACUCCUACGGGAGGCAGCAGUGGGGAAUUUUGGACAAUGGGGGCAACCCUGAUCCAGCCAUGCCGCGUGCAGGAAGAAGGCCUUCGGGUUGUAAACUGCUUUUGUCAGGGAAGAAAAGGUACGUGCUAAUACCAUGUACUGAUGACGGUACCUGAAGAAUAAGCACCGGCUAACUACGUGCCAGCAGCCGCCGUAA